rnacentral:rRNA from 1 species
UACGUAGGGCGCAAGCGUUGUCCGGAAUUCUUGGGCGUAAAGAGCUCGUAGGCGGCUUGUCACGUCGGGUGUGAAAGCCCGGGGCUUAACCCCGGGUCUGCAUUCGAUACGGGCUAGCUAGAGUGUGGUAGGGGAGAUCGGAAUUCCUGGUGUAGCGGUGAAAUGCGCAGAUAUCAGGAGGAACACCGGUGGCGAAGGCGGAUCUCUGGGCCAUUACUGACGCUGAGGAGCGAAAGCCAGGGGAGCAAACGGG